AACUUUUAACAACGGAUCACUCCACGCCCACCCACACCGAACAAGUGUUUGGGUCCGUACCGAUCAAGGUCGACGCCGCCGCGAGACAAGUGCGGCAGCUUGAGCAAAACGCUGCGGAUUUCGGCAUCGAGCUUUUUGGCAUGCGCGAUGCGCGACGCGGCAUCGUGCACAUCAUCAGUCCCGAGUUGGGGUGCACGCAGCCCGGAAUGACCAUCGUCUGCGGCGACAGCCACACCAGCACGCACGGCGCCUUUGGCGCCCUGGCCUUCAGCAUCGGCACGACCGAAGUCGGUCAUGUCUUUGCAACUCAGGCUCUGCUGCAGCGCAAGCCGAAGAGCUUCGCUGUCAACAUCGAAGGCCAACUAUCUCCAGGCGUCAGCGCCAAGGAUUUGAUCUUAAGCAUAUCAAUAAGCGGAGGCU
rnacentral:misc_RNA from 1 species